GUGGGGAAUAUUGGACAAUGGGGGGAACCCUGAUCCAGCCAUGCCGCGUGUGUGAAGAAGGCCUUUUGGUUGUAAAGCACUUUAAGCGAGGAGGAGGCUACCGAGAUUAAUACUCUUGGAUAGUGGACGUUACUCGCAGAAUAAGCACCGGCUAACUCUGUGCCAGCAGCCGCGGUAAUACAGAGGGUGCAAGCGUUAAUCGGAUUUACUGGGCGUAAAGCGCGCGUAGGUGGCCAAUUAAGUCAAAUGUGAAAUCCCCGAGCUUAACUUGGGAAUUGCAUUGGAUACUGGUUGGCUAGAGUAUGGGAGAGGAUGGUAGAAUUCCAGGUGUAGCGGUGAAAUGCGUAGAGAUCUGGAGGAAUACCGAUGGCGAAGGCAGCCAUCUGGCCUAAUACUGACACUGAGGUGCGAAAGCAUGGGGAGCAAACAGGAUUAGAUACCCCGGUAGUCC
rnacentral:rRNA from 1 species